rnacentral:tRNA from 1 species
GUCCCGUUGGCGUAGUGGAUAACGCACUGGACUUCUAUUACUAAGACAUCCAGGGAUCAUGGGUUCGAAUCCCAUACGGGACG